rnacentral:piRNA from 1 species
UGCUUUUCACUAGGCCCAGAGGAAUAGCA